rnacentral:rRNA from 1 species
GGAUUGAACGCUGGCGGCAUGCCUAACACAUGCAAGUCGAACGGGAGUAGCAAUACUCUAGUGGCGGACGGGUGAGGAAUACGUAGGAAUUUGCCCUUAAGUGGGGGAUAACCCGGGGAAACCCGGAUUAAUACCGCAUGACCUCGAAAGAGCAAAGUGGGGGAUCGCAAGACCUCACGCUUUUGGAGAAGCCUACGUCGGAUUAGCUAGUUGGUGAGGUAAUGGCUCACCAAGGCGACGAUCCGUAACUGGUCUGAGAGGAUGAUCAGUCACACCGGAACUGAGACACGGUCCGGACUCCUACGGGAGGCAGCAGUGGGGAAUAUUGGACAAUGGGCGCAAGCCUGAUCCAGCAAUGCCGCGUGUGUGGAAGAAGGCCUUGGGUUGUAAAGCACUUUAAGUUGGGAAAGAAAAACUCGACGUCUAACACAGUGAGUCUUAGACGUACCGACAGAAUAAGCGAACCGGACUAACUCGUAGUA